CGUAGAGUUCUUGUUCUCCUUAUUCUAAUUCUUAUACUUCAAGGAAUUUUUCGUCAAUACUUAGCCAAUAGGAGCUAAGGCCGUUCGUCGAUUCGUCGACUCUCGGAAUCACUCAGCAGGACUCGUGGCGGUCGCUCAUGCCGCUCAUUCAUAACCUGUCAAGACACUUUUUACACUAUUUUUUACACUAUUGAAUUAUUCUCGUUUUGUAAUUAAAGUGUAUACUUUUUAAUGUCUUCGUACCAACAAAAUGUUUUUAAUUUAGUAAUAAAUUGCAGCUAGAGUUGUAAAGUAUUGAUCAAUUUUAAUUACAAGAACUUAUAGAAACGUAGGGGACUCACAAACUUGGAAGUUGUCCUGAUAAGGUUAUAGACAGAGAUAGAAUUGUUAAGUGUCGAUCAAAAGACAAGAUUACAAAAAUUAUGGCCGACUGCUUGGAAUGUAGAGCUCACCAUAUUAGCGAAAGGCAUUAUGAAAAAAGGAAGCAGGAGGUGAAAGAAAUAUAAGAGUGAACGUGGAAGCUUCCCUUUGCAGAUUUUUCGUGACAAGAUAAGCAACGUCCUGUUUACUCUGGACUGCUGUAGCUGUGGCGUACGAAGAUGCUCGUUAAGCCUUUUAGUACCGGCGUAUCCUGCGAGCACCCACAAAGUCGUAUAUCACCCCGGAGUACCUCGGUUUGUGUUGGUAUCUUUAACUAACCGCACGGAAAUCCCUGCGAACAAGACAACGAUUUUACAUUAAGAGGUCUUUCUGGUGUGACAUAUACAAAAAAUUAUUUUUUUUUCUUUUGUUCUUUUUGUUUCAUACUUUGAAAAUAAAUAUAUUUAAAAACGCACUAUUACAAUUUGGGAUGGUUAUUCGAAUUAUUUCAACUUUUACAGCCAAUCUAAAGUGGCAGACAUCAUAGCGAAAUCGAGCACAUGUAAAAGCUUUCGGCAUCGCAGCAACGGUAAUCCCAAUAAAAAUCAAUUUUUUUGUUUACAUUUCCUUAAAGACAUGUUUUUAAAAAAUGAUCUCUCCACAUCUUACGGAGAAAUACUUAAAAUGAUGCACUACGCUAAAAUUCGGAAAAAGCCGUGAAACCCGUGCCCCCGAAUGGUCGUACUAAAUUUAACAAUGAGCGUGACUCGUGAUUUUGAAGUUGUGGCUAAAAUUUUCAUCACGAGUCCGACCUGUGAAAAUAGUGCAAGGAGAUAAAGAAUUUUCCACGUAGCGAUAUCAACUGCGCGUUUGAACGCGUUUUUCUCGAAACACCAUUUUUUCAUCGGUUUGUCAACAUACAAAAGAUCUAUCGAACCGAUCUUUCUGAAAUUUAAAUAUGUUAUUCUGCAUAUCAGUGGCUGUCAUUAGACUCACGACCAUCUUUAACAAUUGAAAAUAUCAUUUCUUUUUUUAACAUGAUAUGGUCGAUUAAAAGUGAAUAUUUAUUCUGCUUGAUUUAGUAAACUAUUUUUUGUUUCAAACAAACCGCCUUCAAAAUAACUUGACAAAGAUAAAGAUGCCGACAUCGACAUCAACAGGGGCUAUUUUAACGAAAGCGCAUAUGAUCUUCUCAAGAGAGCAAUAAAGAUGGAAAGCGAAACAAAAUUGUAGUAUAAACGAGAGAAAGUCAAAUCCAAAAGGAUAAAGGUUGGGAGGAGUGAGAAAGAAAGAAAGAAGGAUAGACAUAAGAAUGAAAGAGGAGAGAAGGACGUACACGGAGAAUAACCAACUAUACUUUCCGAACCGCAAGAUCCAGGAUCCGAUAUACGCGGCCGAGGUGAGUUAGACGGCGGCGGGAGAGUUGGCGAAGAUGUCUAUCUGGUCUCGUACGAGGCGGCACCAACAGCGAGCUGUAGCAGCAUCCUGCACCAUUGCACCUACACAAAUAUGUGCGCACUUACACAUAAUCUUAUGAGCGGAGAUCAGCACGAGUAGAAGGAACACCAUGGAGUCCUGGCAAGGGGUCCAUGUGGGAGGCAACCGUCUACAUCCUAGAGAAACUGAUUCAACGGCUAAACAUACAUAAAGUAGUACGCUUUUUGCGAUAAAAAGUGAUAUAAAGUGGUAAAAAGCAAAAUAAGGACAAAUGUUUUGUUAUUGGACCAAAUGGCAAAUGCUCUUUCAGAUCCAAGAAGUUUCAAUUUUAUUGGUCCAUCCGUCUCGAAGUAAGAAGCAAGACAAAAUUUUUAUGUUUUUAAAAAAAAACGGGUAAAAAAUGACAAUUUGCAAAAUGUUUCUUUUAUGCGAACUGGUAGAAAUAUUCGACAAGAUGCAAGAGGUUUCACUUCGAUUCAUUAAGCCAUCUCGACGUAAUCGGCAAGCAUACCUAAAAAUCGCGGUUUUUGGUAAAAAAACGAGUAAAAAAUGACAAAUCGCAAAAAGUCUUACUGGCAAGAUCACUGAGGGAACAUUCUCUACAAAAUGCAACAGUUUCAUACUGAUUGGUCAAGCCAUCUCGGCGUAAUCGAUGAACAGACAUUUAAAAAAAAAAUAUAUAUAUAUAUACAUGUCGAAAUGAGUAACCUCCUCCUUUUCGAAGUCGGUUAAAAAUAUAAAAGCCUUUAGUUUGUGCAUUAGUAACUAACUAGUGACCAAGGUGACACUUGUCAUCAAAGUUCGAUUGACCUAUUUCUAAUCCAUAAUGCUCGACAGUACGAAUCGACGCAGCAAAUGCUUUGAUUUUAUAUUUACUACGAAUUUAUAUGAAGGGAAGUUAUGUUUCGAUCGGUAGAAACGUGUACCGAAUGAUAGAUGUAUCCCACAUUUUUCGGGCGGCUUUGCGAGGUAUUGUACCGCAUUGUCUUUUGUUUCGAUUCAAGCGGCAGGAGGGCGUUUGAUGUGCGUGAAGAUAGCCCCGCACUUUUCGAAUUUUUAGUUUUUCUUUGUUGUGCCGUGUUGUGCUAUCUUUAUGCUGAAUUGUGUCGUAAAUAAGAGAUUGAUAAUAUCAAUAAUAAUUAAUGAAAGAAAUAAAACCAAUACUAUACUAGCCCCGCAGUUUUGCCGAAACAAACUUUUUUUUCUAUAAAAAGAUGCGUACUAACAUGUGCUACAUUGUGCCAUUGUAUAUUUGUGCCAGCACAAAUAUAGCACAAUACGGCACAAGAAAGAAAAACUCAAAAUUCGAAAAGUGCGAGGCUAACUUCACACACAUGGGCGUUUGAGAGUCUUUUUAUUUUCCUGUAACGGUCGUAGUGUACAGAUGUACUGCAUCAAUCACAAUGUGUUUUUAUAUACUUCAAUUUUAUUAUUCAAAUAUAUCCUGUUUAACAUUU